UUAUGCAAGUUUUAUUUUCUAGGAUUUAUACAGUCUAAUCAAAGUACUGGUAGUUUUAAAUUUUGUAAAUAAUUAAUUAUUAAUUCAAGGUUUCUUCCUUCUAUUUAUUCUGAGUAUGUCUAGAAAACUGAAAAAAGGUCAUUGAUUCUAUAUUGGUCUCAAACUGGUACUGGCAAAGAGUUCUCCAAUAAAUUAGCGAAAGACUCAUCUCGUUUAGGACUACCUGCCAUGACCUUGACCAUGAGGACUGCACUGACUGGGAUUGAUGGAUCACUUAUUAAUUUUGUAAUGGCCACUUAUGAAGAGGGAGAUCUUACUAAUAAUGCCAUCAGAAAUGCUUUGACUGUUUAAAAGAAACUACUGAUAAUCUUCAAGG